UGGUUGGAAAAAUGACACGAUCCCCGAUCUUCUUCGCCAUCGCCAUUUUCGAGGAUCGUCUGCAAUGAAGGCGACACAAGCCAUCACAACAAAAAAAACAGCAUAGUCUCACCCAGGCAAGUUCUAUUCGAUUGGGCUGGUCAUUCCUUACUUUGCGCCGCUGCUGCUGAGUUGGCGUAAUUGUGUGUUUGCUUGAAAAACAACGCGAGUCACGCAGGCCCGACCAUACUACGCCAACAACUACGACUCCCGCGUACACGACUUCAUCCCGACCGCAAUUUACCGACCGUCGAAUAAUGGACGGUGGCGAGGCAGCAGCAGAAAAAAAGGGCUGGCGUUUGCCAUCCAUCUGUCUUCCCGUGUUCAUCGCCUUCAUCGACUCGCCUGGUGACGAAGCCUACUCUGCUUGCGGGAUAAUUAAAUCCAUUUGUCCGUGCAACGCAAACUCGAUCGAGAGCAAGAUGUAAAUCCGGCGUAGCGAACGGGCGUUUUCAAUUUGCGAUCGUGUGUUGAUUUAAAGCUUAUCAGUUACACCGUACUCCCACACAGGCCGUACGAAAUGGCACAAACAGCUUAUAGAUCAGCCUUCGAUUGAAAAGAAAUGCAUCAUCCUCCGCUUAUGGACAGGCCUCGAAAGGGCGAUCAUAUCGCUAGGAAACGCUCAGCUCGAAGGUGAUGCUGGCAUCGUAAUCGGGGAUGAAAUUUUGUUUUCAUCUUCCAUUCGUCCACCACCUGCGCACCCCAGCAUACCCCAGGCCCGUCCCGUACAGAGAGCAUGGACGUUGUUUACAUGCAAACAGCAACAGACUCCGGAACUGACAGAGAUGCAACAAAAACAUUAUCUCGGUCACUCUCAAACCAAUCGCGAGAUCGAGAUCGGCGGUGGUGGGAACAGAGCAUCUAGGAAGCCACCACCACGAACGCGGCUGUCGGUUGUAACUUUCUACACUACUUGUUUCUACUCUGCCUCGGUGGCCACUUGAACGACGAUUACACUCUCGAACACAAACCUGUGGAAUGCACACGGAAUCGUCACAUUAACACAAACGGCCCCUUUACUUUACCAGUCGGCAGGUAAAUCUGCUUGUUCAGACUGCAGGUCCUUCAAACAGCGACAUUCGGCAACCAGCCAUUGGCCAUCAGGAGGACGACACGCAAAAGGAAUUCCCUCCCUCCGAGGGGCACUUGUUGCACGGUCGCGGGGUGGUUCAGUAGGGUUGGGGUGGGUGCACUGGUGCGCCUGCCUUAUCAAUGUCUUCCCGUUCCAGAAAGAUACGACACGGCACAAACACAAAAACACUGUGCGUUCCGGGACAAGUGCGAUUGAACGGCGAUGAAUAAACGGAGCACCAUGACGCAACGGCACAACGAUCACACAGACACCGAACAACAACGACGACGACGACGACCACGGUGACAACGAACGAUAUUCCUAUGCGAGCUGCAUGAGCUGUUGUUCCUGCUGCCUCUGCCCACAACGCACAGGCUACGAUCGCGCAAACCGAUCCUCGACUUCAUUGUGCCGAUGUGGAGCAUACUUUUACCUUCCAGUUUAAAAACAAUAACACCUCCCUACACUACGGAGCGAAGGGACUACAAAUAUUUACAACAAAAAAUUACAUAAAACAAC